GGUGAACGCUGACAGAAUGCUUAACACAUGCAAGUCUUUGGCGAAGCUGUGCUUGCACAGCCUAGCCAAGGCGGACGGGUGAGUAACGCGUAAGGAACUUGCCCUGCAGUCAGGGAUAACAGACGGAAACGACUGAUAAGACCUGGUAAAGUCAGGCGGACUCAUGUCCAGCCUGAUGAAAAGAGAUGCUGCAGGAGAGCCUUGCGUCCUAUUAGCUUGUUGGUGGGGUAACGGCCCACCAAGGCGAUGAUAGGUAGCCGGCCUGAGAGGGUGGACGGCCACAAGGGGACUGAGAUACGGCCCUUACUCCUACGGGAGGCAGCAGUGGGGAAUAUUGGACAAUGGGGGCAACCCUGAUCCAGCAAUUCUGUGUGCACGAUGAAGGUUUUCGGAUUGUAAAGUGCUUUCAGCAGGGAAGAAAAAAAUGACGGUACCUGCAGAAGAAGCGACGGCUAAAUACGUG
rnacentral:rRNA from 1 species